GGCUCGAUGGUGAAACGGACAUCAUGUCUCGCUUCUAACGAGAUGCUCCAGGUUCAAAUCCUGGUCGGGCUGC
rnacentral:tRNA from 1 species